ACGGGAGGCAGCAGUGGGGAAUAUUGGACAAUGGGCGCAAGCCUGAUCCAGCGACGCCGCGUGAGUGAAAAAGUAUUUCGGUAUGUAAAGCUCUAUCAGCAGGGAAGGUAAUGACGGUACCUGAUUAAGAAGCCCCGGCUAACUACGUGCCAGCAGCCGCGGUAAUACGUAGGGGGCAAGCGUUAUCCGGAUUUACUGGGUGUAAAGGGAGCGUAGACGGUAUGGCAAGUCUGAUGUGAAAACCCAGGGCUCAACCCUGGGACUGCAUUGGAAACUGUCAAACUAGAGUGCAGGAGAGGUAAGCGGAAUUCCUAGUGUAGCGGUGAAAUGCGUAGAUAUUAGGAGGAACACCAGUGGCGAAGGCGGCUUACUGGACUGUAACUGACGUUGAGGCUCGAAAGCGUGGGGAGCAAACAGGAUUAGAUACCCUGGUA
rnacentral:rRNA from 1 species